GAUAAGCGUGUAGUCAAAUGCCAUUUAAUGGAGCCGGAAAAAACUUGGGUUUUCCCAUUCUUUCUAUGUGCAGCCGCCCAAAGUAACCCUACUUUUUCCCCUUUCAAUUGCUUUCAGCCAUAACUCUCGCACUCUCUACCAGAGAUGGGUUAUUGAGACCAUCAACCAUCAUUAAUGGAGAUGACUCCUGAAUUCAAUUUAGAGAUGGAGCCAUUACCCGUCUCUUUUCUCCUAUUUAAGGUCCAUUAGAUCAAAUUUGCUGAUAAUGUUUUCACAUGAAGCAUUCUUUGAGCUAGCUACAGAUUUUUAUCCCAGCGCAUGUGUUCCAUCCAGCAGGUGUUAAAUAACAGACGAUGGUAGAUUAAGUGAUGGAAAUUGGGGGCUAUUUGCCUGUGUUAGUUGUAUAACAUAAACUGGACAUGUUAAACCAGUUAUUUGAAUUUGUAUAAAUUAUUUGUCUUCUUUUAGGUUGUGUACUUGCUGUGGUUACUGAUUUGGACGGAUCAAUUUUUCAAACAUCUCUUGCUUUCAGAGAUGAGCUUUAAUCUCUAAUUCUCUAUGCUGGGAGUUACAGUGUUAAAAUAAAUUUUGAUGUGUUAAGGAAAGAUAUGGUGUCAAAGGAAGAAGUAGAUUG